rnacentral:rRNA from 1 species
GACAGAGGUGCCGAGCGUUAGGCGGAAUCACUGGGCUUAAAGCGUGUGUAGGCGGGGCGUUAAGUGUCUUGUGAAAUCCCACCGCUCACCGGUGGAACGGCUGGGCAUACUGGCGACCUUGAGAGGCCUAGGGGCAGACGGAACAAGCGGUGGAGCGGUGAAAUGCGUAGAUAUCGGAAGGAACACCGGUGGCGAAAGCGGCGCGCUGGAUCUCUUCUGACGCUGAGGCGCGAAAGCCAGGGGAGCGAACGGG